rnacentral:rRNA from 1 species
GACGAACGCUGGCGGCGUGCCUAAUACAUGCAAGUAGAACGCUGAAGGAGGAGCUUGCUUCUCUGGAUGAGUUGCGAACGGGUGAGUAACGCGUAGGUAACCUGCCUGGUAGCGGGGGAUAACUAUUGGAAACGAUAGCUAAUACCGCAUAAUAGUAGAUGUCGCAUGACAUUUGCUUAAAAGGUGCAAUUGCAUCACUACCAGAUGGACCUGCGUUGUAUUAGCUAGUUGGUGAGGUAACGGCUCACCAAGGCAACGAUACAUAGCCGACCUGAGAGGGUGAUCGGCCACACUGGAACUGAGACACGGCCCAGACUCCUACGGGAGGCAGCAGUAGGGAAUCUUCGGCAAUGGACGGAAGUCUGACCGAGCAACGCCGCGUGAGUGAAGAAGGUUUUCGGAUCGUAAAGCUCUGUUGUAAGAGAAGAACGAGUGUGAGAGUGGAAAGUUCACACUGUGACGGUAUCUUACCAGAAAGGGACGGCUAACUACGUG